UGGAAACCUGUUCUCCACAGUAAUUC
rnacentral:piRNA from 1 species